AAGGAAUAUUGGUCAAUGGAGGCAACUCUGACCCAGCCAUGCCGCGUGCAGGAAGACGGCCCUCUGGGUUGUAAACUGCUUUUGAAUGGGAAGAAUGUGUGGCUUGCGAGCUAUAAUGACGGUACCAUUAGAAUAAGCCACGGCUAACUACGUGCCAGCAGCCGCGGUAAUACGUAGGUGGCGAGCGUUAUCCGGAUUUAUUGGGUUUAAAGGGUGCGUAGGCGGCUUAAUAAGUCGGUGGUAAAAGGUAGCAGCUUAACUGUUUUACAUGCCAUCGAUACUGUUGAGCUUGAGUUAUUUGGAGGCAGCUAGAAUUUCCGGUGUAGCGGUGAAAUGCAUAGAUACCGGAAGGAAUACCGAUUGCGAAGGCAGGUUGCUACGAAUAGACUGACGCUGAUGCACGAAAGCGUGGGGAUCAAAC
rnacentral:rRNA from 1 species